rnacentral:rRNA from 1 species
AACGAACGCUGGCGGCAGGCUUAACACAUGCAAGUCGAACGCCCCGCAAGGGGAGUGGCAGACGGGUGAGUAACGCGUGGGAAUCUACCCAGAACUUCGGAACAACUGAGGGAAACUUCAGCUAAUACCGGAUACGCCCUACGGGGGAAAGAUUUAUCGGUUCUGGAUGAGCCCGCGUUGGAUUAGCUAGUUGGUGAGGUAAAGGCUCACCAAGGCUUCGACGGGUAGCUGGUCUGAGAGGAUGAUCAGCCACAAUGGGACUGAGACACGGCCCAUACACCUACGGGUGGCAGCAGUUGGGAAUAUUGCGCAAUGGACGACAGUCUGACGCAGCGACGCCGCGUGAAGGAUGAAGGUUUUCGGAUCGUAAACUUCUUUUAUAGGGGACGAUUGUGACGGUACCCUAUGAAUAAGGGCCUGCUAACUACGUG